UACGAAGGGGGCUAGCGUUGUUCGGAAUUACUGGGCGUAAAGCGCGCGCAGGCGGCCUUGCAAGUCAGUGGUGAAAUCCCAGAGCUUAACUCCGGAAUUGCCAUUGAAACUGCGAGGCUUCGAGUACGGGAGAGGUGAGUGGAAUUCCCAGUGUAGAGGUGAAAUUCGUAGAUAUUGGGAAGAACACCAGUGGCGAAGGCGGCCAUCUGGCCUGGAAUUGACGCUGAGGCGCUAAAGCGUGGGGAGCAAACAGG
rnacentral:rRNA from 1 species